UUAGGUUGCAUCAACACUCCAAAUGUAAAAGGAUCUACAAGAGAAAGAGGGCCAUGUGAAUGCAGCUAGAGAAGACUGACAUUACAGUGAAUGAGGAACACUCUCCUGCUGCACAGGAGAAAUAAGAUCAAAGCAUUAACUUGGUGGCUAUUAUCUAUUGAAAUGAGAAAACAUUUUGUGGU